GAGACCCUCAGCGCAAUAUGGCGGCGGGCCGCGCUCCACCUGCUUCUGCCCCGAACCCUGACCCUGCGGCGGGGUUGGCGAUUGCCAAGUUGGAGAGCGGGUGAGGGAAGAAAGGCCCUUUGGAGUUAGCGUGUGGGCGACUCGUGUGCUCGAUCGCCAGUCUCUAAAGGUGCUAUUUUUUGUUGUUGUUGAUUUUUUUUUUUUCUGAAGCCCAAAAUGAAUUACUUCAAAUAAAAGGCAGGAUGGAUUUUUGUAUUAAAGCACAUUUUCAGCAUGAAAUAAAAGUUUGAGAAUCCACCGAAGCUUAGAAACUACAAAGUGAGAAGGCUGCUUCAGCCGGCUGUGCUCUUGCAUCAAGAUUGUGCAACCAACCAACCGAUUCGUAGGCACGCAGACACAACGCACUGUGCCUGUGCCCCCUCUUCCUCACCCUUCAUCCACCGCCAUGCUCCUGCAGAGCUCCCAGCUGCUUUACCUGCAGGAGCUGUGGCCUCCCGCCUGCUGGGGUGUGAGAACAGAUCGUAUUUACGUUGUCAUGGGCAACGGACUAUAGGACACAGGUCUUCCGGUGUGCCGCAAUGGCAUGCAGGUGAGCUCUGAGAUUAGGGAAACGUGCAGAUCCAAGCUGCUGUUUUCAAUGUCCUCAUUUCAAGAAAAGGAACUGGAAGCUUCAAAACAAGGUCCUGCAGCAGAGAUGGUGCUAGGCACUCACUCAUAGUGCCACAUUCAAAUAAAAGAAUCACCUUUGCUUCAGGUUUGAGAGAAGGGAGGGGAGCAGAGACUGAUAGAACUCACAGCUAUAUUCCCUUCUUGUGUGAUCUUAGGAAACAGGAGAGGGCUUUACUGUAAAACUGAGCCAUAUGUGAAGCAGCUUGCAACAGCAGGCUGCACCCACAAUUGUUCCUUGAGAUUACAUGACGCUCUCCUUGACCAUGAUGGAGCUGUACAGGGACAUACUAGAUGAACACAGUUUAAACAUGCAUGUGAUCAAGAAAGGAAAAUCUAAAAUAAUUGUCUCUGUAACUGAAAUCCACCGUGAAUUAUUGAUUUUAUUAGUGAAAAUAAAUAGUAAAAAAAGCAAUAAGAAUUUGCUCAAACUGUUGAAUGAGAACAAUCACAUCACAAAGCAUUGUUUAAAAAUAUAUUAAGUGACAAUAGAUGUUCACAAUGUACUGGAUUUGUAAAGAUUAUUCUACACAUGUAAAUCCAGCCGUGUUUGUCCAAGACUUGAAGCAAAUGGAAACUAGGGGCAAC